rnacentral:rRNA from 1 species
GAUGAACGCUAGCUACAGGCCUAACACAUGCAAGUCGAGGGGAAACGGCAGCUUAGCUUGCUAAGCUGGACGUCGACCGGCGCACGGGUGAGUAACGCGUAUCCAACCUGCCCCACGGUGAGGGAUAACCCGCGGAAACGCGGCCUAAUACCUCAUGGCCUCCGAGCUUGACAUCAAUCUUGGAGUAAAGAUUCAUUGCCGUGGGAUGGGGAUGCGUCUGAUUAGCUUGUUGGCGGGGCAACGGCCCACCAAGGCAACGAUCCAGUAGGGGUUCUGAGAGGAAGGUCCCCCCACAUUGGAACUGAGACACGGUCCAAACUCCUACGGGAGGCAGCAGUGAGGAAUAUUGGGUCAAUGGGCGAGAGCCCUG